UACGGAGGGGGCUAGCGUUGUUCGGAAUUACUGGGCGUAAAGCGCACGUAGGCGGCUUUGUAAGUUAGAGGUGAAAGCCCGGGGCUCAACUCCGGAAUUGCCUUUAAGACUGCAUCGCUAGAAUUGUGGAGAGGUAAGUGGAAUUCCGAGUGUAGAGGUGAAAUUCGUAGAUAUUCGGAAGAACACCAGUGGCGAAGGCGACUUACUGGUCCGGAUCUGACGCUGAGGCGCGAAAGCGUGGGGAGCAAACAGG
rnacentral:rRNA from 1 species